rnacentral:rRNA from 1 species
GAUGAACGCUGGCGGCGUGCUUAACACAUGCAAGUCGAACGAAGCACUUUAUUUGAUUUCCUUCGGGACUGAUUAUUUUGUGACUGAGUGGCGGACGGGUGAGUAACGCGUGGGUAACCUGCCUUGUACAGGGGGAUAACAGUUGGAAACGGCUGCUAAUACCGCAUAAGCGCACAGCAUCGCAUGAUGCAGUGUGAAAAACUCCGGUGGUAUAAGAUGGACCCGCGUUGGAUUAGCUAGUUGGUGAGGUAACGGCCCACCAAGGCGACGAUCCAUAGCCGACCUGAGAGGGUGACCGGCCACAUUGGGACUGAGACACGGCCCAAACUCCUACGGGAGGCAGCAGUGGGGAAUAUUGCACAAUGGGCGAAAGCCUGAUGCAGCGACGCCGCGUGAGCGAAGAAGUAUUUCGGUAUGUAAAGCUCUAUCAGCAGGGAAGAUAAUGACGGUACCUGACUAAGAAGCACCGGC